GACGAACGCUGGCGGCGUGCCUAAUACAUGCAAGUAGAACGCUGAAGGAGGAGCUUGCUUCUCUGGAUGAGUUGCGAACGGGUGAGUAACGCGUAGGUAACCUGCCUGGUAGCGGGGGAUAACUAUUGGAAACGAUAGCUAAUACCGCAUAAGAGUAGAUGUUGCAUGACAUUUGCUUAAAAGGUGCAAUUGCAUCACUACCAGAUGGACCUGCGUUGUAUUAGCUAGUUGGUGGGGUAACGGCUUACCAAGGCGACGAUACAUAGCCGACCUGAGAGGGGGAUCGGCCACCCUGGGACUGAGACACGGCCCAGACUCCUACGGGAGGCAGCAGUAGGGAAUCUUCGGCAAUGGACGGAAGUCUGACCGAGCAACGCCGCGUGAGUGAAGAAGGUUUUCGGAUCGUAAAGCUCUGUUGUAAGAGAAGAACGAGUGUGAGAGUGGAAAGUUCACACUGUGACGGUAUCUUACCAGAAAGGGACGGCUAACUACGUG
rnacentral:rRNA from 1 species